rnacentral:rRNA from 1 species
AUACGUAGGGAGCGAGCGUUGUCCGGAUUUACUGGGUGUAAAGGGUGCGUAGGCGGCUGUUUAAGUCAGGUGUGAAAACCAUCGGCUCAACUGAUGGAUUGCAUUUGAAACUGAGCAGCUUGAGUGGAGCAGAGGCAGGUGGAAUUCCCGGUGUAGCGGUGAAAUGCGUAGAGAUCGGGAGGAACACCAGUGGCGAAAGCGGCCUGCUGGGCUUUAACUGACGCUGAGGCACGAAAGCAUGGGUAGCAAACAGGAUUAGAUACCCUGGUAGUCCAUGCCGUAAACGAUGAUUACUAGGUGUGGGGGGUCUGACCCCCUCCGUGCCGGAGUUAACACAAUAAGUAAUCCACCUGGGAAGUACGACCGCAAGGUUGAA